rnacentral:rRNA from 1 species
AUUGAACGCUGGCGGCAUGCUUUACACAUGCAAGUCGAACGGCAGCACGGGAGCAAUCCUGGUGGCGAGUGGCAACGGGUGAGUAAUAUAUCGGAACGUACCCAAGAGUGGGGGAUAACGUAGCGAAAGUUACGCUAAUACCGCAUACGAUCUAUGGAUGAAAGCGGGGGAUCUUCGGACCUCGUGCUCCUGGAGCGGCCGAUAUCUGUUUAGCUAGUUGGUGAGGUAAAGGCUCACAAAGGCGACGAUCAGUAGCUGGUCUGAGAGGACGACCAGCAACACUGGGACUGAGACACGGCCCAGACUCCUACGGGAGACAGCAGUGGGGAAUUUUGGACAAUGGGCGCAAGCCUGAUCCAGCAAUGCCGCGUGAGUGAAGAAGGCCUUCGGGUUGUAAAGCUCUUUUGUCAGGGAAGAAACGGUUGGGGCUAAUAUCCCCGGCUAAUGACGGUACCUGAAGAAUAAGCACCGGCUAACUACGUGCCAGCAGCCGCCGCCG